GUGGGGGAUAUUGCACAAUGGGGGAAACCCUGAUGGUGCAACGCCGCGUGGAGGAUGAAGGUCUUCGGAUUGUAAACUCCUGUCAUCCGAGAGUAAGACCUGGCGGUGAAUAGCCGACAGGGUUGAUAGUAUCGGAAGAGGAAGGGACGGCUAACUUCGUGCCAGCAGCCGCGGUAAUACGAAGGUCCCAAGCGUUGUUCGGAAUCACUGGGCGUAAAGGGAGCGUAGGCGGCAUGGUAAGUCAGGUGUGAAAUCCCGGGGCUCAACCCCGGAACUGCACCCGAUACUGCCAUGCUAGAGGGUUGGAGAGGUGACUGGAAUUCUCGGUGUAGCAGUGAAAUGCGUGGAUAUCGAGAGGAACACUCGUGGCGAAGGCGAGUCACUGGACAACAUCUGACGCUGAGGCUCGAAGGCUAGGGGAGCAAAAGGGAUUAGAAACCCGUGUAGUCC
rnacentral:rRNA from 1 species